UACGUAGGUUGCGAGCGUUGUCCGGAUUUACUGGGCGUAAAGAGCGCGCAGGCGGUCGUGCAAGUCGCGUGUGAAAGCCCCCGGCUCAACUGGGGAGGGUCACGCGAUACUGCUCGACUCGAAGGCAGGAGAGGGAAGUGGAAUUCCCGGUGUAGUGGUGAAAUGCGUAGAUAUCGGGAGGAACACCAGUGGCGAAGGCGACUUCCUGGCCUGUUCUUGACGCUGAGGCGCGAAAGCUAGGGUAGCAAACGGG
rnacentral:rRNA from 1 species